rnacentral:rRNA from 1 species
AAACUAACAAGGAUUCCCCUAGUAACGGCGAGUGAACCGGGAAAAGCUCAAAUUUGAAAUCUGGCUGUCUUCGAUAGUCCGAGUUGUAAUCUAUAGAAGCGUUUUCCGUGCUGAACUGUGUCUAAGUCCCUUGGAACAGGGUAUCAAAGAGGGUGAUAAUCCCGUACUUGACACAACAAUCAGUGCUCUGUGAUACGUUCUCUACGAGUCGAGUUGUUUGGGAAUGCAGCUCAAAAUGGGUGGUAAAUUCCAUCUAAAGCUAAAUAUUGGCGAGAGACCGAUAGCGAACAAGUACCGUGAGGGAAAGAUGAAAAGCACUUUGGAAAGAGAGUUAAACAGUACGUGAAAUUGUUGAAAGGGAAACGAUUGAAGUCAGUCGUGUUCAUUGGAUUCAGCUAGUUCUUCUAGUCUACUUCCUUUGAACGGGUCAACAUCAGUUUUGUCCGGUGGAUAAAGGAUUUAGGAAUGUAACUCCCUCGGGAGUGUUAUAGCCUAGGUUCACAUACACUGGGUGAGACUGAGGACUGCAGCUCGCCUUUUGGCCGGGGUUCGCCCACGUUCGAGCUUAGGAUGUUGACAUAAUGGCUUUAAACGAC